rnacentral:lncRNA from 1 species
UGAGUGUCAAUGGCGUAAGAGAUGAAAGUUGAUAGAAUGUGACAUAUUUUGGUUUCGUGUUCUUUUUGGCUUAUACUAUGCUCAUGGGCUCCUGAUUUAAUUGCGAUUGGAGUGCUCUAGAGGGAACAAUUAUGAGUCUUAGAGUCAAAGAUGGUAUUCUCAGGAUCAUGGGUGAUUAUUGUUCACGUGUUAUGACUUUUCUCAGUUCUAUAGAAGUUGUUCUUGACAAUAUUAUAUAUCUGGUGUUUCUGGUUGCUAUGGAGAUUUCUUUUAUCGAAGAGUUUUACGAUGACUUUCUGCUUCUGUGAAUCAA